AACUUUCCAUGUAUCCGAAUUAUAUUCUGAUGUGUUCAACGGGUAAAGUUCUACUCAAAUGGAGGAAUACUCAAGAUGAAAGGGACGUAUUGGUAAGUGUUGUGAAAUGGAUACUUUGAACAGGUAUGUACUUAACCCUCGGGUUGAAAACUCGAUAUAACAACAAUAUGGUAAAAUGAUAAAUGAAAAUGUGAUAUGAAUGUCUUGGUGAUGAUUAUGCAA
rnacentral:lncRNA from 1 species